CGGCGGACGGGUGAGUAACACGUGGGUAACCUACCUAUAAGACUGGGACAACUUCGGGAAACCGGAGCUAAUACCGGAUAAGAUAUCGAACCGCAUGGUUCGAUAGUGAAAGAUGGUUUUGCUAUCACUUAUAGAUGGACCCGCGCCGUAUUAGCUAGUUGGUGAGGUAACGGCUCACCAAGGCAACGAUAUGUAGCCGACCUGAGAGGGUGAUCGGCCACACUGGAACUGAGACACGGUCCAGACUCCUACGGGAGGCAGCAGUC
rnacentral:rRNA from 1 species